AUUGAACGCUGGCGGCAGGCCUAACACAUGCAAGUCGAGCGGAUGAAGAGAGCUUGCUCUUUGAUUUAGCGGCGGACGGGUGAGUAAUGCCUAGGAAUCUGCCUGGUAGUGGGGGAUAACGUUCCGAAAGGAACGCUAAUACCGCAUACGUCCUACGGGAGAAAGCAGGGGACCUUCGGGCCUUGCGCUAUCAGAUGAGCCUAGGUCGGAUUAGCUAGUUGGUGAGGUAAUGGCUCACCAAGGCGACGAUCCGUAACUGGUCUGAGAGGAUGAUCAGUCACACUGGAACUGAGACACGGUCCAGACUCCUACGGGAGGCAGCAGUGGGGAAUAUUGGACAAUGGGCGAAAGCCUGAUCCAGCCAUGCCGCGUGUGUGAAGAAGGUCUUCGAAUUGUAAAGCACUUUAAGUUGGGAGGAAGGGCAGUAAGUUAAUACCUUGCUGUUUUGACGUUACCGACAGAAUAAGCACCGGCUAACUUCGUGCCAGCCGCCGCCGUAACAC
rnacentral:rRNA from 1 species